GAAGACUUUCCGAAAAGGGGGUGGGGUGGGACAAAUAAACCGUUUCACAUGCGCGUUCCUUAAUUUUAAUGGUUUUUAAUUCAUAAAUUGUUGUAUGGGGUCACUAUUAGAGAUAAUUUCACCUUUAGCUUGAUAAAUUGUUUAUUUAUUUUAGCCGAAUAUAAAAAUCUCUAUGUUGAGAGGAAAUCAGUCAUUGAAAAUAAUUAACAGGUCAUAUAAUU
rnacentral:lncRNA from 1 species